CACGGGGGGAGCAAGCGUUGUUCGGAAUCACUGGGCGUAAAGGGUGCGUAGGCGGUCGGGUAAGUCUGACGUGAAAUCUCCAAGCUCAACUUGGAAAUGGCGUCGGAUACUAUUCGGCUCGAGGAAUGGAGGGGAGACUGGAAUUCUCGGUGUAGCAGUGAAAUGCGUAGAUAUCGAGAGGAACACCAGUGGCGAAGGCGAGUCUCUGGACAUUUCCUGACGCUGAGGCACGAAAGCCAGGGGAGCAAACGGG
rnacentral:rRNA from 1 species